CACGUGUCUGUCAUGCCAGGAUCUGGACUUACAUUGCUCUUCCCAGGCACCAGCUGUGCACCUGAACUCAGGGCCACUGACCUGUGCAGACUUUCCUCGUGUAGACUUGGUGCCCUUCAGAACCUGCUCUGGGAUCCGCCAUUGUAGUAUUCUGCCCGUUUAUUGGGGACAUAGUGGCCUGUCAUCUGCUGUAGUCUCCUGAUCCUGCCCUGCUGUUCCUCCCUGCAUUUAUGGGCAGGCUUUCUGACUCCUGGAGUGUUCUGUGCUCUUCUUGCUAUUGUUAGGUCAUCUGGGGGUUGAGUCAGAGGGGCCCUGACCCCGAUGGUACCCCAGAGGACAUCUUCCUUGGCUCGCUGUGGUGGGAAGAGCACAGCGGGUUGACAGAAGGUUUCCAUUGGCUGCCUCAUCUCUGCUCUUGGACAGGGUUGUCAUCCUUUGAGCAUGACGAGGUCAAGAGGAAUGAGAGACGAGGAGGACGUGGGCAGUUUGGCAGUGACGGAGAUCAUCUCUGCCUUUAGGAACGAGACAGGGUUAUUGUCUGGAGCUAAGGAAGGAAACUGAAAGGCCAGGAUUAGACUACCAGUGCUGCCUAUCACUGUAAAGGCCCAGGCAAGAGAUCCUGGAGAGAAAGCUCUGGAAUAAUCCCUCUGAAGGCAGCACAACAGGGAGAAGGGCCUAGGACCUCCUGAGAAGGUAGACUUUCAGGCCGGUUUGAGUGAGGAGAGAUGUUUUCGCCUCCUUCAUUGAUGCCUUUGUUUAUUCAUUAGUCCAUGUAACAAAAAAUUUACUCAUUGACUUUUGUGACAGGCACUAUGCUAGGUUUGGGGAAUAUGUCUGUUAACAAAAGAGCAAGUUUCUUGACCUCAUAGUACUGAUAGAUUGAAUGGUGUAUGUAUGUGUGUGUGUGUGAGAGAGAGAGAGUAGAGGAACAGACAUUUGAAAAAAUAAUGUAAAAGGUGAUACAUGGCACAAAGAAGCCAUGCAAUGUUCCUUGGGUGCACAUAGCUUGGGCAGCUGACCUUCCCUAGGGGUCAGGGGAAGCGUCAGGGAGCACACAAUUUUUAAGCUGAGUCCAGAUAGCAAAGUAGCGGUGGGGAAGAGCAGGCAGAGAGAGUAUUUUAAACAUCAGGCAUAGCAUGUGCAAAGGCCUGGAAGUGAAGGGAUGUGAUUCUUCAAGAAGAAGUCAUCCUAGGCAUUGUAGUUUCUAGUAAGGAAAGUGAAGUUCAGGUAUCGUUUACCACCUCUGAGGAUCGAACAAGCCAGGAACUGUGAGAGAGCCGUAGGCCCGUGUAGGAAGCACUCAGGCGCCCACAUCGAAGCCCCUUAGACUCCCACUGAGUUCAGCCUCAGCUGUGGUAGCCGGCUCCAUGGGAGUGCACAUUCACCGUGGGCUGCUUGAAUCCCACCGCAAGUUCUCAACUUGGGUUUCUCCUCGUUCCAACUCAGGUCCUUCUCCAGCUGCCGCAGGAGCUUGCUGGAGUUAGUGCCCCUGGGGCCAAACUUCAGCCAAUGGGGACUGGAAGUGCUCUGCCAUAUUUUAGGUGGCCCUUUCUAGCAGGCAUUCUGUACCCUUCUCAGGAAUCCUGGGAGAAUUGUGCUCCAGUUGUUCACAGCAGUGACCUUGAUAAUGAACCUUGGUGUUGGCUUCCCCUCCUUUUCUGACUUUCCCCAAUCCCUCUCUCUUGCUUCCUGGGAUCACAUGGCAAAUAAGAGAGCUGUGCCCAAGUCCUUGUCUCAGCUGUGCCUUUGAGGGAGCUUAAACUUGGACAGUUGGCCACCUAAAGUUAAGUGAAAUUUUCAUCAACUUUUAAUUGGGCCCUGUCUUUCUCAAGUGCCUCAUCUUAAUUGUGUUCCUCAAGUACUUAAGCAGCACCUUCUCUCAGGAAUGCUCCGCUGAGCCCCCCGUUUUUGUAGGUGGGGGAAGCUAAGGCUCAGCCCACCUCAAGGGAAGUGCAGGAUUGCAGCUCAGGAUUUCUGAUUUCAAAUUAAAUACCUUCUGGAAUGCUCUAUUUUGAGGCAUGAUACUUCUUCUCAAGGGAAUGGCUAAUUCUGUGUACCAGUCCCUGAAUUUUGUUCAACAUCUUUUGUCGGAAGUCAUCCCCUCAAAGGAGUAAUCCUGUCAAAUGUGAAGCAUUUGAAAAUGCCAUCAGGUCCUUAUUCCUGAUGUUUUGGAGUUAUCUGUGUGAACACAAAGCAAAACACACUACUAUGUUUUAGAGAACUCUAAACAAGAGUAAUCCUCUUGUUUCAGAGAUGCUGACUUUCACCACAAAGUCCAUGUCCCGAGACACAAGGUCAUUGAUUGCCAUCGCAGAAUAAGACUCAGCAGUGGGGUGGUACAUUUAACGCACCAUGCUCCAGUUUAGAGGGAUGCUAUAGGUUUCAGAUGAGGUCUUUUCUUUUAUAUUUUUCAGGGGAAAUGCGGUAGUUUCCACAAUGUCAAAAACAUGAUAAAUUUCCUCCUGGGCUGAUUGCAAUUUGACUGAGUCUGAGUGGUUCAGCUUCUUGUAAAUCCUCAUCAGUAGCACAGCAAUGAGAUACUCGGGGUCUGCUCUCUCCUUUCUCAAGUCUGCCUGAAAGGCCUGAUUUAUAUUGAAGGAAAAGAAAAUCCACUGGCCUAACUAGUAUAUCAGAGAGAAGAAUGAAAUAGAAUUUUUGGCUCUCAGGGCCAUUCCACUUUGUCAUUUUGUGAAAUUAGAGACAGAUGGGUGAUGUCUGUGUGUUGUGGAAAAUUCUGUCCUACAUUCCAGCCAAUGCUGGGAGCCCUGGAAGAGGACAGAGAGGAGAAAGAGAAAACUGUUUGGACAAGGCAGAAUAUAUGCUAAUUCUGUGACAAAAAUAGCAUCAAAUCUGCAAACAUUCAUUCGAGGCCAGUCUCAUUCUUAGCCUGUUUUCUUUCCCUUUUCUAGCUUUCACAGUAGUAAGUGAAUUUAAACUGGUUGCUAAUGGAAGAGGAUUAGAGAGCAUCUGGCUUGUCUCUUACUGCAGAAUAUCGGUUUUCUCCUGAACACUAGGGGUAUAAGGGACCACUGUGGUCAAAUUAUCAGCCUAUGUUUCAGGCAGAUCAUAACUAAUUUUGAGGUGGUCAGGUUAUUGUUCCAAAAACUCAAGUGGUGGAGGGCAUUGGUGGUGGUGUGUGGGAGAGGGGCCAUUGUGUGGAAAGAGCUGGAGUUUGGAGAAAAAUGGGGUCCACACUCUAGGGGUCCCAAAACCUAGUGAGUCUCUCUACAAAUAAUCCUAUCCCUUCUUAUAAGUACUCUGAGACUUCUGUGAUCAUGUGCUGGGGCUGAGGUUAAAGGAUCACUAUGUCUGAGUGGAAAAAGAUAUGGAGAGUGGGGUGCUGGAGGGUAGGUACCUGGACUGGCAGGUACUGAGGACUCUCGAGGAGCAUGGGUUCAAAGGGAAGCCCGUGAAAAGGAGCCAGGUACUACACGCUGAGGAUUCAGGAGCUUUGGAGUCACUGAGGUGGGGACCAGGACAGCUGGGCAUGGUCUCUGCAGGGCAGAAGGCAGUUAGAUUUCAGUCGAGAGAGCAAGAAAAGGGGAUGAAAACAUAUCAAGGUUUGAGGAGGCUGUGAGUGCUGACUGAAGGAAAGCAAAAGAGCCUUAGUGGGAAAGACAGAGUCAGUGCAAGGUCACAGUACAGAGAAAGCGGGCCGUUUCCACGGAAGGAAGUGAAAUGUAGCUGCGUGUGCUUGGCCAAACCUUUCUUCUUUGAGCCUCAGGUCCUCAUUUGUGAAAUAGAGAUAAAAAUUCUUCCUAUGUCUCAUUGGGAGUGGAAAUCAAGUGAGAUCAUAUAGGCAAAAGCAUUUUGUAAACAGUAAGAAAAGAUGGUUGUUAGGAAGUUUGGUGAUGAUCUCUCAGAGGGCUGCUUGGCAGGGGACAGGGGACCAUUCCUGGGAGGAGCCACACACUUUACGGAUUAGGAGACAGAGUCCCCAACCCACCGUAGACCCCAACGGUGCUUAUUGGCCACUCUGUAGUUCCCAACAUAGGAUGCCUUCUUAUAUUUUUGCUUAUUUUCGCUUAUUCAUAUUAAUUUUCUUCAUAUAUAUCUUAUUAUAAAGUUAAAAAAAUAACUUUUCAAGGAUGGGCACUUUCAGAAUGGGAUAAAAACUGUUGACUCUUUUCCCAGGAAAAUACCUAGAUAGGGUAGCCCUACUUCACCAUCACUGAUGCUUAGAUUGGGCAAAACCAGGCAAGUAGCCUCCACUGCAGAGUCCUGUCUGGGUGCAUUGCUGUCCAGGCUGCCCCGAGUGUGGUGCACAGUGAGCAGACCAAGGAGUGAGCCAUUUGGGGUAGGCAGGGUUUGGUUGGCUCCAGCACCCCGCCCUUACAGGAGGAGAAUCAGAUGGAAGACAAGUGAAUUCUAAGUAACUGUUGUGAAACUCCAGCUUCCCUCCUCGGCUACUUGGGAAAGGCCUGACUGCUGGGCGGGAACCACCACAAUAAAUCAUACAGUCUUGAAUGAUUUGGUAGUUCUUUGAAAAAGACUACUUGUAUGUGGAAGGAAAUUUUCCUUAAUGGGCCGAGUGGGUAUAAUAGCGGCAUGUCAUUCUUUCGUGGUGUCUCCCUUGAAAUAUUUCCCCACUCACUAAUUGAAGGAUUCUCAGUAGAAAGCAGUACAGAUAAAGGUUUUGGUUUUGGCCUAUAAUUCAAGUGCUAAAGGGGUCCAAAUGAUACCAAAGGAGCUAGAAACUGCGUCAUGCCUGCCCUUCCCGACUUAUCUAUUCCUUCUUAUAGAAAAAGGGGCUUUCUGGAAACUGGUCAUUAGUAAUCAAAAAGCUUCAAAUACAUCAUAGCUCCUAUUACGGAUCUGUUUUUUGUUCACAACAAUUUCCGACACGGAAUGUGUGAGUUUUCCAUACCAGGCAAUUCUCUGGUUUGCUGUGGACACCAACUGGGUGUCCUAUAGUUUAACUCAGUUCUGACGCCAUGUACAUGGCGUUAGCAUGGACCUCAUAGCUUGAGGCCUCAGUCACACAAGACUGCCCCUCGCCUCAGACUCCAAUCACAAGUAGUGGGCCCCAGGUUACCCAGACUUCUGUCCAACUUGACUACAAAUUGGGGGUUUCCAUGACCCCUCCUCAGAUUUGAUAAUUUGCUAGAACAGCUCAUAGAACUCAGGGAAGCACUUUACUUACUGUUACUGGUUUAUUGUAAAGGAUAUUCUUAAAGGAUACAGAUGAAGAGGUAC
rnacentral:lncRNA from 1 species